rnacentral:rRNA from 1 species
AAGCGGUUACACAUGCGCAUGGUGGAUGCCUAGACUUGAACAAGCGAUGAAGGACGUAGCAGGCUGCGAUAAGCCUCGGGGAGUCGCCAAGCAGACUUUGAUCCGGGGAUUUCCGAAUGGGACAACCCAACUCCGCAUAAGCGGAGUUAUCACGCAUCCGAAUACAUAGGAUGGUGGAGCGCACCCGGGGAACUGAAACAUCUUAGUACCCGGAGGAAGAGACAUCAAUAGAGAUUCCGUCAGUAGUGGCGAGCGAACGCGGAACAGCCUAAACCUCGACUUCGGUCGGGGGGUUGCGAGGUAUAUGGACUCGGUUGAACGGGGUCGCACACGUUUUUUCUAGCGGAAUGGUACUGGAAAGACCAAUCAUAGAGAGUGAAAGUCUCGUACGCGAAAGAAACAAACGGGCGAUGCAUAUAUCCUCAAGUAGGGCGGGGCCGGAGAAACCCUGUCUGAAUCUGGGAGCACUAACUUCCAAGGCUAAAUAUUGUUCAAGAUCGAUAGUGAACGAGUACCGUGAGGGAAAGGUGAAAAGCAUCCCGGUGAGGGAGAUGAAAGAGUUUCUGAAACCAUGUCGCUAACGAAGAGUCGGAGUCCGCCAGCUGGCGGAUGACGGCGUGCUUUUUGCAGAACGAGCCAACGAGUUUGCUCUACGUGGUCGCCUAAGGAAGUGAACUUCCGGAGGCGUAGUGAAAGCGAGCCUGAUAAGGGCGUUUAUGAUCGCGUGGACAAGACCCGAAGCCGGACGAGCUACAUAUGAGCAGGGUGAAGCGAAGGUAAAACUUCGUGGAGGCCCGAACCCACGAGCCGUGCAACACUCGGGGAUGACUUGUGUGUAGAGGAGAAAUUCCAAUCGAGUUCGGCGAUAGCUGGUUCUCUCCGAAAUAGCUUGAGGGCUAGCGUCGCGGAAGUAGGGUCGGGAGGUAGAGCUACUGGAUGAGAAUUCGCGGGCAACCGUAGGGUUUUCAACCAAACUCCGAAUGCCCGAUACCCGUACCGCGGCAGUCAGAAAUCCGGGGCUAAGCUCGGAUCUCAAAAGGGAAACAGCCCAGAUCGUCAUCUAAGGUCCCUAAAUCUCUGUUCAGUGGAAAAGGAAGUGAAGUUUCUUGGACACCUAGGAGGUUGGCUUAGAAGCAGCCAUCCUUUAAAGAGUGCGUAAUAGCUCACUAGUCUAGAGACUUCGCGCCGAAAAUGUAACGGGGCUAAACAGAGUACCGAAGAUACGGGCUUACGAGCUUCAUUGAGAUAUUGUUUUUUCUUGGACAUGAGAGGAGUGUUCUAAUCAUGAGUGGCGCAGUAAUUGGUUGCUUAGUUUUGAAUAUGUACGCGACUGCUCCAUGGUGGCUGCAAUGCUUCUAUGGAGUGGUCUCACUCUGGUUCCUUUGGAUACUUUGGAAAUGUUGUCCAGUUUAUCCAAUCAAGAAGAAAUAGGUUAGCGUUUUGCGUUUGUGGCUGAGGAGAUUUUCUCUUCUCGGCCUCUCAAUGAAGUUCGUAAGCGGUAGGAGAGCGUUCCUUGUGCGCCGAAGCGUGCAUCGUGAGAUGGCGUGGAGCGCAGGGAAGUGAGAAUGUUGGCAUGAGUAACCGCAAUGCAUGUGAAAUCCAUGCACACCGAAAGUCCAAGGUUUCCCGGGCAACGGCGAUCGUCCCGGGGUUAGUCGGUCCUAAGGCGAGGCCGAAAGGCGUAGUCGAUGGCAAAUCGGUUAAUAUUCCGAUACUAUAGAACACAUUCGAUGGAGUGACGCAUUCUAGUAUUCUUCGCGCAUUAUUGGAUUUGUGUAGAGAUACUGAGGGCGUCGGGCAGGCAAAUCCGCCCGGCAUUCUCCCAAGGUAUUUCUGGACGUCCGAAUUUAUUCGGAUGAACGAAGAGGAGCAGGGUGCCAGGAAAAACUUCUUAGGUUCGUGUGUUCAUAACCGUACUAAAACCGACACAGGUGGACUGGGCGAGUAGCCCAAGGUGAACGGGAGAACCUUCGUUAAGGAACUCGGCAAAAAAGCUAGGCGUACGUUUGCAAUAUGCCUUGCCCGUCGCAAGACGGGCCGCAGCGAAAGUUUCCCAAGCGACUGUUUACCAAAAACACAGGUCUCUGCAAACCCGCAAGGGGAAGUAUAGGGGCUGACGCCUGACCAGUGCUGGAACGUUAACGGGAGCGGUUUACGCCAAUCCCCGAAGCGCCAGUGAACGUCGGCGAUAACUAUAAUCGUCCUAAGGUAGCGAAAUUCCUUGUCAGGUAAAUUCUGACCCGCAUCAAAGGCGUAACGAUUUGGGAACUGUCUCAACGAAGGACCCGGUGAAAUCGCAAUGACGGUAAAGAUGCCGUCAACCUACAGUUAGACGAAAAGACCCCGUGGAGCUUUACUAUAACUUGGUAUUGAAUAGAAGUUGUGGUUGCCGAGAUUAGGUGGGAGGCUAUGAAGUCCCGAUUCCGGUUGGGAUGGAGCCAACAAGUGGAAUACCACCCUGCUUCGAUUUUUAUUCUAACCCUGGGCCGUUAGUUGGUUUCUACGAUAACUGAGUGUAUUCUUUUUUUGAGUACGCUUCAGUUGGAUUUAUCGUGUUCGAAUGUUCAAUAUCGUUCUAGAAAUCAGCUACCGGUCCGGGGACAGUGCCUGGUGGGUAGUUUGACUGGGGCGGUCGCCUCCUAAAAGGCAACGGAGGCGUUUACAAAGGUAGGCUAGGUCCGGAUGGAAAUCGGGCCGAUAGCGCAAAAGCACAAGCCUGCUUUACUGAAAGACCCAUACGUCGAUCAGUCACGAAAGUGGAAUUUAGUGAACCGACCAUCCCUCGUAGGAGGGUGGAAGAUCAACAGAUAAAAGUUACCCCGGGGAUAACAGGCUAAUCACGCCCAAGCGUCCACAGCGACGGCGUGGUUUGGCACCUCGAUGUCGGCUCAUCGCAUCCUGGGGCUGGAGAAGGUCCCAAGGGUUUGGCUGUUCGCCAAUGAAAGCGGUACGCGAGCUGGGUUCAAACCGUCGUGAGACAGGUUGGUCUCUAUCUACUGUAGGCGUCAUUACUUGAGAGGAGUCUUUCCUAGUACGAGAGGACCGGAAAGAACGAACCUCUGGUGUAUCGGCUGUUCUGCCAAGGGCACUGCCGAGUAGCUAUGUUCGGACCGGAUAACUGCUGAAAGCAUCUAAGCGGGAAGCCGACCUCAAGAUAAGGUAAUCGUUUCGAUUUAUCGAAACAAAAUAUCCUCGAAGACUACGAGGUUGAUAGGCUUCAGGUGGAAGCCCUGUGAAGGGUGGAGCCGAGAAGUACUAAUAUAUUUACGAAUCGCUCUU